rnacentral:rRNA from 1 species
UACGUAGGGGGCAAGCGUUGUCCGGAUUUAUUGGGCGUAAAGAGCGUGUAGGCGGCUUUGCAAGUCCGUUGUGAAAACUCGAGGCUCAACCUCGAGACGCCGGUGGAAACUGCAAAGCUAGAGUCCGGAAGAGGAGAGUGGAAUUCCUGGUGUAGCGGUGAAAUGCGCAGAUAUCAGGAAGAACACCGGUGGCGAAGGCGGCUCUCUGGAACGGUACUGACGCUGAGACGCGAAAGCGUGGGGGGCAAACAGG